CACCCGUGUUUAUUUUACCUUGUUGCUUCGGCGGGCCCGCCUUAACUGGCCGCCGGGGGGCUUACGCCCCCGGGCCCGCGCCCGCCGAAGACACCCUCGAACUCUGUCUGAAGAUUGAAGUCUGAGUGAAAAUAUAAAUUAUUUAAAACUUUCAACAACGGAUCUCUUGGUUCCGGCAUCGAUGAAGAACGCAGCGAAAUGCGAUACGUAAUGUGAAUUGCAAAUUCAGUGAAUCAUCGAGUCUUUGAACGCACAUUGCGCCCCCUGGUAUUCCGGGGGGCAUGCCUGUCCGAGCGUCAUUGCUGCCCUCAAGCCCGGCUUGUGUGUUGGGCCCCGUCCCCCGAUCUCCGGGGGACGGGCCCGAAAGGCAGCGGCGGCACCGCGUCCGGUCCUCGAGCGUAUGGGGCUUUGUCACCCGCUCUGUAGGCCCGGCCGGCGCUUGCCGAUCAACCCAAAUUUUUAUCCAGGUUGACCUCGGAUCAGGUAGGGAUACCCGCUGAACUUAAGCAUAUCAAAAGCCGGAGGAA
rnacentral:rRNA from 1 species